rnacentral:rRNA from 1 species
GAUGAACGCUGGCGGCGUGCCUCAAACAUGCAAGUCGAGCGGGGCUAUGUAAUAUCGCAAGGUAGAACAUAGCCUAGCGGCGAACGGGUGAGUAACACGUGGGUAACCUGCCUGGAAGACAGGGAUAACGAUUCGAAAGGGUCGCUAAUACCUGAUAAUAUCCUUUCAUCGCAUGGUGAUAGGAAGAAAGGGGAAACCCGCUUUUCAGAUGGGCCCGCGUCCCAUCAGCUAGUUGGUAAGGUAAAGGCUUACCAAGGCGACGACGGGUAGCCGGUCUGAGAGGAUGUACGGCCACACUGGGACUGAGAUACGGCCCAGACUCCUACGGGAGGCAGCAGUUGGGAAUCUUAGGCAAUGGACGAAAGUCUGACCUAGCGACGCCGCGUGAGGGAAGAAGGCCUUCGGGUUGUAAACCUCUGUCAUGGGGAAGAAGUAAGUGACGGUACCCAAGAGGAAGCCCCUGCUAACUACGUGCCAGCAGCCGCGGUAAGAGUACUCUAU